CGGCGGACGGGUGAGUAACGCGUGGGUAACCUACCCUGUACACACGGAUAACAUACCGAAAGGUAUGCUAAUACGGGAUAAUAUAUUUGAGAGGCAUCUCUUGAAUAUCAAAGGUGAGCCAGUACAGGAUGGACCCGCGUCUGAUUAGCUAGUUGGUAAGGUAACGGCUUACCAAGGCGACGAUCAGUAGCCGACCUGAGAGGGUGAUCGGCCACAUUGGAACUGAGACACGGCCCAAACUCCUACGGGAGGCAGCAUG
rnacentral:rRNA from 1 species